AAAGCAGCUUGUCUAUCUCCCCUGUUCGCUCCUCCUCCAUCUUCUAAACCUAAAAACCAAACAGGCGACUGACAGAUCUUCUUUCAUUCGCAGGGAAGGAAGGUAAGGUUCAAUCAGCCAGCAGAUGAAUUUGCAGCAGAUUAGGUUUAGGAAAAAGUGAGAUGUUACCGGAGAGGAGAGGAGUUUUUGCCGGUUCAGAUCCGAUUAAACCUGCUGCUGAUCAUGGCGUACCGGCUGUUCGUCGUAGCAGGAAGUCUGGACGUAUACGAUUGUUGUUUUGGAUAUUCUCGUUUGCUGCUCUCUUCUCCAUUUGUAUCGCUACUUUUGGAUUUAAGAUGUUCUUCCAUGGUGUAGAAGAGCAUCAAAGCUUUUUGUUAUCAACAGAUGUUAAAGAUGUACAAGUAGAAGCAAAUACCACCGAACAACCAAAAAAGAAGCCUCAUAGGGCACGUUUUUACCCUUGCAAAGUUGAGUUAAAAGACUCAGUCGAAGCACGUGAUGAGCCCAAAACCUUUUGGAACUUUGUAAAGUUUUCAUUACAAUACGUAGUGAGAGAGAACAUACAAUCCCAUGCAAAUCAUAUUACUCCGAGAUUUGGAGGUCAUCAAACCCUUGAAGAAAGAGAACAGUCUUUCCGAGCAGUCAAUCAAACAAUACACUGCGGUUUUGUAGAGGGAUUUGACGGGUCUCCAAACACUGGGUUUGAUUUGGACAACGAGGACAAAAUGUACAUGUAUACUUGUACUAUUGUUGUAUCAUCCUGUAUUUUUGGAAGCUCGGACUUUUUACGAAGGCCAACUAGCAAAAUGAUCAGUCAAUUCUCAAAGGAGAACGUGUGUUUCAUUAUGUUUGUUGACAAGGAAACACUUGUAAAACUUUCAAAGGAGGGAAGUAUUCCCGAUGAAAAAAGAUUUAUCGGGUUAUGGAGGAUGGUUGUCGUAAGCAAUCUACCAUAUGACGACAUGAGGAAAACCGGAAAAGUGCCGAAAUUUUUGUCUCAUCGUCUCUUCCCGUCAGCCAGGUAUUCCAUUUGGCUUGAUAGCAAGCUGAGGCUUCAUACAGACCCAAUGCUGCUAAUUGAAUAUUUUCUAUGGCGGAAUAACGCAGAAUAUGCAAUUUCCAACCAUUACACUCGUCAUUGUGUGUGGGAUGAAGUACAACAAAAUAAACGCUUAAAUAAAUACAAUCACACAGCAAUCGACCAACAGUUUUUGUUUUAUCAGUCUGAUGGUCUUCAUAAGUUUGACCCUUCUGACCCGAAUAAACCUCUUCCUAGCUGUGCGUGUCACUGAUGUUCCGGAAGGUUCUGUUAUUGUUAGGGCGCAUACUCCAAUGUCAAACUUAUUUUCAUGUCUUUGGUUUAAUGAAGUUGAUCGGUUUACGUCACGUGAUCAAUUAAGCUUUGGAUAUGCUUUCUUAAAGUUGAAACGGACGAACCCUGAUAAACCAUUUGUGCUACAUAUGUUUAAGGAUUGUGAACGCAGAGCAAUCACAAAGCUAUUUCAUCACAGGAAUCCCUAAGUGUAUUCAAGGGUUGAAGAAAGCUGUUUUGUUUUGUUGGGCAUAAUUUUUGAAGCUUUUGUUGUAUUCCCACUUCGCGGUUGUGCAAAUAGGUGAGACAUUCAGCUACUGCUAAAGACGACAUGGUAAAUGAAGACGACGACCCAUGGGUCGUCAGUUUAGGAUCCAGUUAAGUUGUAGAUGCAUAAGCUGAGAUGGUGGCUGUAAGUAAAUCUGUAAUUGGAGUACCACAAAAACUUGACACUAGGAUGAUGGAUUUUUGUAAUUGUAGAUUAGCAUACCAAAAAUCUAAAUCUGAGACAUUUUUUAUGUAUAAAAAAAACUUCAAUCAUUUAAUUGAUAUUAUGAGUUUUCAUCAA